rnacentral:rRNA from 1 species
UACGUAGGUGGCAAGCGUUGUCCGGAUUUACUGGGCGUAAAGAGCGCGCAGGCGGUCGUUCAAGUCGCGUGUGAAAGCCCCCGGCUCAACUGGGGAGGGUCACGCGAUACUGAUCGACUCGAAGGCAGGAGAGGGUAGUGGAAUUCCCGGUGUAGUGGUGAAAUGCGUAGAUAUCGGGAGGAACGCCAGUGGCGAAGGCGGCUAUCUGGACGGUUUCUGACGCUAAGACGCGAAAGCGUGGGGAGCAAACAGG